CGCUGCCCCUGGGCCAUUCAUUCCAGGGAAGACCCCCCCCCAACACCCCAGUGAUGAUGUUUCCAUGAGGGCCUAGAAGGGUUCCCAGCCACCAGCCUAGGUCCCUCUGCCAAAUUAGACCCACUGAAUCAACACCUCUAUAGACGGGGUCCAGGCGUGUGUGUCUUUCUAAGCAUCCUAGCCAGCACAGCCGCUGAGUUCUGCAGGCCUCGCUUCUUCCUCUCUACUUCUGGCACGCAGAUGUAAAGGGUCCUCUCCCGCAAACACUGCCACGGCUGUCCGCCGCCCUGAAGUCUGUUUCUGCCACCGCUGUUCCUUCCUGAAGACCCCUGUGGGGCGGAAUCGAGGCUCCCGCGCUGCAUCCUCUACCAGCAGCCGCGCCUGCUCUUUCUCCUUCCCAAGGCCUUCAGCAGCACUCAUCUCGGCAGAGCUCAAAAGGAGGCCACGGAAUUGUGUCCCUUCAGAUACCUUCAAGACCGAGGCACCAGCUUACCCUCCCUCAGAGAUGCAAGCUAUACCGCAAACAAAUUAAAUAUCCAGUG